CGUCUAAGCUCGUGCUGGCAGCCGAGGUAAUACGGAGGUUGCAGAGGUGACACGUAAUUACUGGGCGUAAAGCGCACGUGGGCGGUGAGAUAAUUUAGAUGUGAAAGCCCCGUGCUCAACCUUGGAAUUGCAAUUAAAACUGUCCAGCUAGAGUCUUGUAGAGGGGGGUAGAAUUCCAGGUGUAGCGGUGAAAUGCGUAGAGAUCUGGAGGAAUACCGGUGGCGAAGGCGGCCCCCUGGACAAAGACUGACGCUCAGGUGCGAAAGCGUGGGGAGCAAACAGGAUUAGAUACCCUGGUAGC
rnacentral:rRNA from 1 species